rnacentral:rRNA from 1 species
AGUCGAACGGACUUAACUCAUUCUUUUAGAUUGAGAGCGGUUAGUGGCGGACUGGUGAGUAACACGUAAGCAACCUGCCUAUCAGAGGGGAAUAACAGUGAGAAAUCAUUGCUAAUACCGCAUAAGCUAGUAGUAUCGCAUGAUAUAGCUAGAAAAGGAGCAAUCCGCUGAUAGAUGGGCUUGCGUCUGAUUAGCUAGUUGGUGGGGUAACGGCCUACCAAGGCGACGAUCAGUAGCCGGACUGAGAGGUUGAACGGCCACAUUGGGACUGAGAUACGGCCCAGACUCCUACGGGAGGCAGCAGUCGGGAAUAUUGCGCAAUGGAGGAAACUCUGACGCAGUGACGCCGCGUAUAGGAAGAAGGUUUUCGGAUUGUAAACUAUUGUCGUGAGGGAAGAAAUUGACAGUACCUCAGGAGGAAGCUCCGGCUAACUAUGUGCCAGCAGCCGCGGUAAUACAUAGGGAGCAAGCGUUAUCCGGAUUUAUUGGGUGUAAAGGGUGCGUAGACGGGAAAUUAAGUUAGUUGUGAAAUCCCUCGGCUUAACUGAGGAACUGCAACUAAAACUGAUUUUCUUGAGUACUGGAGAGGAAAGUGGAAUUCCUAGUGUAGCGGUGAAAUGCGUAGAUAUUAGGAGGAACACCAGUGGCGAAGGCGACUUUCUGGACAGUAACUGACGUUGAGGCACGAAAGUGUGGGGAGCAAACAGGAUUAGAUACCCUGGUAGUCCACACUGUAAACGAUGGAUACUAGGUGUAGGAUGUAUUAAGCAUUCUGUGCCGCCGCUAACGCAUUAAGUAUCCCACCUGGGGAGUACGACCGCAAGGUUGAAACUCAAAGGAAUUGACGGGGGCCCGCACAAGCAGUGGAGUAUGUGGUUUAA